UACCUCUUCUCCUUCCUCACACUCCACCUCUGAAGCUUCCAGGCUCCAUGUGUGAUUUCAGCAGAUUUCAUGGCUAAACAAGCUCUUCAAGAGGAUUCAGAGACUCGAUGACGACAAAUAGCCUCAGUUCGAUGUCUUGGAGAAGGUCAGUAAUCAACCUAAUUUUUUUUUUCCUUUCAGUUCAUAGAUAAAUAAGUAGUUGCUUGGAUGUUAUUGUCGUUCGUUUAAUUUUCUAUUUUAACUGUAUAAUUAGAACCAGCAAAUCUUGUUUCCUUGUUUAGUCUUCUGUUUAAAGGGUGUUAGAAUCUACUUUCCUGUUAUUUUGAUGAAAGACCAGUAUGUAAAACUUAAAACAUAGGAACUAUGACGUUUAGGAAGGAAACAACUUAUUUGCACAAGCUUGAACUAAUCGAAACUUGCUGACGUUGGAAUAACCUUAUCACUUAUAAAUCUUUUACUUCAUUGCUCAAAAGAGGUUAGCGUUUUCACUCUCUGCUCUACUCUUUGAAAUCUUGAAUUUUGACUGUGUUGAGAUGCAAGAAUAUGUUGUCUAUUUUUUUUUAGAUAUGUUGUAAAUAGCCUAGUCUUCAUGUUCUUUUGAAGCAAUAGAAUGCUCGAAUAAGUUAGUUACGAGACUCUGUCUUUCCUCUAAAGAUAUCAUGGUUGUUGGAUAUAAAAAUGUGAAUGUGUGUUUUGUUUCGUGACCGUAGGAAACCAUGAUUUAGCAUAUUGUUUUAUCAUGUUUGUAGUUGAGGUCAUAUGUUUAGUUAAUGAGAUAAUAGAUUAUUGCAAGUCCAUAACGAGAAGAAUAUGAUGUCCUUCAUGAUUUAUGUCCAAAAUCUCUUUUUCUUUACCAUGUCCAUGAGACGUUCUUAACUUAAGAAGACUUUUGUUUAUGGAUUUUUUGGGAUUUUUCCAUAGUUAACUAAAUAUGCUUUAUACAUUAGAAAGCUACAUUUGUGCCAGAAAAGAGAAGUUACUGGAUUUGAAUAAAAAGAGAGUUACUAUUUUGGUUAAAGGAAGUUACUGUUUUUGAUAUAUAUAAAAAAAAAGUUACUGUUUUGAUUGGGAAAAAAGUUACUUGUUUUGAUUAAAAGAAAAGUUACUGAUUCGUGGAAAUUAAACAUGUCGAAUAUGUGAUUAACUUCGUCCUUAACCUAAUUUCUGUUUUUUAAGGCUUAUCAGAAUCAGCCCCUGCCUUGUUUUUCUUCAAAAAAUUGUAUAUAAAAGGCUAACACGAACCGUGUCAUCUAAAGGAAAUCCAUUGAUGGAAUUAUGAUAAAAAUGUGAAUGUGCAGUUAGAGUGAAUGAUCGUUUACCUCUCGUCUUUCUGUGUGUUUGGAGUCAUGUCCAUGAAACCAUUUUAUUUCUUUAAUAUGAGUCCCAUUCAAGAAAAACAAUGAACCUGUCUGGCUGAAGGAUUCUUUAUGUUGUGAAGAAUGUGCAGUUACAUGUAAUGUUUUCUUGUCAAGGGUACUACAUCUGUGUUCUCAUUUAGAAGGAGCAAUUCUCCAGUUCUACUUGGUAUAAUACUCAAGAUUUGCUAAGCUUAUGCCUCGUUGAGUCUCUUGGCUUUGUUUGAACCAUUGUUAAGGGCGGAUUAUAUGACAUGAAUUUACCUCUUUCUUUAGACUUAGAUGGCAUAACCUUAGAACCUUAAUGGCAUGUCAAAGUGUUCAAACCACUGUAACAGUAGGCUGCCCUAUUUGAUCAUGUUUUCGCGUUUAGGUUGUCCGAGAAUUAACUCAUCAUUUUUACUGGCCUAAGUGUUGCAUACUGUGUGGACAUCGUCCUGCUAGAUAUUGUCUUUUCUAUUUGUUCAGAGGUCUAAAACUCAUGUAUUCAAGUUUCACCUUCUGUUUAAACUUGAAGUGCCAAAGUGUGUCGGAUAUAGCUCCGGGAACAUCCUGCACGUAAUGUAUUUUGAGUACCUGUUCCACGCAAUUGUCUUGUUGGGAUCCUCUUUAAUCAAAUCCUUACCAAAAAAAAUGAUUUAAAGGUUCAGUUAUUAAGUUACAAAUAUUUUGCCAUGGUUGUCUUCGCUCAAGCUUUAGCUUGCUGGUUACAAUCAGUUGGACAUGUUGAUCGUUUUCUUUAUAUGCACGUAAAGUUAUUGGGCUGUAUGUCCUUUGUGAGAUUCUUAACCAUGUAGUUUAAUUAAAUAACCAAGAUUAGGAAUAGUUUUUCUUACUUCCAAAAUAAGAAAAAAUAAAGAAAAAAAUCUCACCAGAAAGUAGUCAACAACUUAAGGUUGGACGAAUAUAUUCUCUCAUGAUCACUGAGUACAUGGUUGGGUUUAACGGCUGUCUUUGUUUCUUGUAUGAUUAAUAAAAUGUUCAGAUGUACUUUGUCUAUUUUUUCUAUGUUUCUCUGACUACUUUUUAUCCUUGGCUAACUGUGAUCCUAUUCUUUUUGUAUUAGAAGUUGCAAUCUGCAUUCGAAAAGUUUUAAGUAUUGAAGUCAUGUUUUGGAAUUAACUAGCUGUAUAUAUUGCAUUUCUCACUCACUAUGUUUCUUUUAUUAAGACUGCUUCUAAUUUCUUAUCCUUCUUUCUUUUGCAUGAACACACUUGGGAGCAUUUGGAGUUAUGACAACUCUAGAUCAUGCCCAUAUAAGAGAAGGGAACAGUAGUAGCCUAUGUUUCGUUCAUUAAUCUGUCGCAGUCUCAGUUCCUCAUUCGUGUCAAGAGUCUUCGUCCUCCUUCCUCUCUUCGAACUUUAUGUCUUUGUGUAAACUUGUGUAUAUACAUGUUGUUUAUAUUUUUGACUAACAUUUUAUGGAUUGUUUUUGUAGCAUAUUUAUGUCUUUGCUUGUGUACGAACUCGCGGAGAAAUAGUUAAGUAUAGAAAUUUAAUUGCUUA